GAGGCUUACUUUUGCGAAAAAUGGAUCCUCAAAAGUUGGAGUCAGAUUUGAUAAACAGAUCCCUGGGGCCAUUGAUCUUGGAGGCAGUUGUGAGCUUGAUCAUGGCCUAUUCUGUUCAGUUGAUUCUCUAUGCCUCGAUGGUCCAGGAUGGGAAGAUAGAGCCAAACAUUCAUUUGAUGUUGUGUUUGAGUUUGCCUCUGAAGAAG